ACUAACAAGGAUUCCCCUAGUAACGGCGAGUGAAGCGGGAUGAGCUCAAAUUUAAAAUCUGGUAGUCUUCGAUUGCCCGAGUUGUAAUUUCGAGAAGCGUUUUCCGCGGCGGCCUGUGUACAAGUCCCUUGGAAUAGGGCGUCAUAGAGGGUGAGAGUCCCGUCCUUGACACAGAUACCCGUUGCUUUGUGAUACGCUCUCCAUGAGUCGAGUUGUUUGGGAAUGCAGCUCAAAAUGGGUGGUAAAUUCCAUCUAAAGCUAAAUAUUGGCGAGAGACCGAUAGCGAACAAGUACCGUGAGGGAAAGAUGAAAAGCACUUUGGAAAGAGAGUCAAACAGUACGUGAAAUUGUUGAAAGGGAAACGAUUGAAGUCAGUCGUGCUUGCCUUGAUUCAGCCGGCCCUGUGCCGGUGUAUUUCUUGGUUGGCAGGUCAGCAUCACUUUGGCAGAGUUGACAAGGGCGGUAGAAAUGUGGCAUCCUCGGAUGUGUUAUAGUCUCCUGUCGCAUCGGCUUUGCUGGAGUGAGGAACGCAGUGCGCCCGCAAGGGUUGGUCCUCGGACACAUUCGCACUUAGGAUGCUGGCGUAAUGGCUUUAAACGA
rnacentral:rRNA from 1 species